UCCGGUUUGGCACCGGCAGUCCCCCGAGAGUCCUCAGCGCCUUGCGGCCUGUUAGCAACACGGGGCGGGGGUUGCGCUCGUUGCGGGACUUAACCCAACAUCUCACGACACGAGCUGACGACAGCCAUGCAGCACCUGUGCUGGAGCUCCGAAGAGGGGCCGAUGUUUCCACCGGCUUUCCCGUACAUGUCAAGCCCAGGUAAGGUGGGAUGACGUCGACGUCAUAACC
rnacentral:misc_RNA from 1 species